rnacentral:pre_miRNA from 1 species
GUGGAGAAUUCCUACAGGAGCGACCUGAGAUCACAUGUGGCCACCCUCACAUGUUCCCUUAUCUUCUAUUGGUUGUGUUUUCGUGUGUUCUCAGGUCACCCCUGCCGGGCUUUCCUCCCCUGCUAGAUUGGUAUGAUGAU